rnacentral:rRNA from 1 species
GACGAACGCUGGCGGCGUGCUUAACACAUGCAAGUCGAACGAAGAGCGAUGGAGGCUUGCUUCUAUCAAUCUUAGUGUCGAACGGGUGAGUAACGCGUAAUCAACCUGCCCUUUAGAGGGGGACAACAGUUGGAAACGACUGCUAAUACCGCAUACGAUCUAAUCUCGGCAUCGAGGAUAGAUGAAAGGUUGGCCCUACAUGUAAGCUAUCACUGAAGGUGGGGAGUGAGUGGGAUUAGGUCGGUGGAGGGGUAAGGGCCCACCAAGGCGAUGAUCAGUAGGCGGGCGGGGAGGAAUAACGGCCCAAAUGGGAAUGGGACACGGCCCAAGCCCCUAAGGGGAGCAGGAGGGGGGAAACUUCCGCAAAGGGGGAAAGUCUGACGGCGGCACGCCGGGGGAGGGGUGACGGCCUUCGGGUUGUAAAGGUCUGUUAAUCGGGACGAAAGGCCUUCUUGCGAAUAGUGAGAAGGAUUGACGGUACCGGAAGAGAAAGCCACGGCUAACUACGUG